rnacentral:rRNA from 1 species
CCAGACUCCUACGGGAGGCAGCAGUGGGGAAUAUUGCACAAUGGGGGGAACCCUGAUGCAGCGACGCCGCGUGGGUGAAGGAGCACCUCGGUGCGUAAAGCCCUAUCGGCAGGGAAGAAAAGCGAACAGGUUCGCCUGGACGGUACCUGACUAAGAAGCCCCGGCUAACUACGUGCCAGCAGCCGCGGUAAUACGUAGGGGGCAAGCGUUAUCCGGAUUCACUGGGUGUAAAGGGAGCGUAGACGGCGACGCAAGUCUGGAGUGAAAGCCCGGGGCUCAACCCUGGGACUGCUCUGGAAACUGUAAAGCUGGAGUGCGGGAGGGGCAGGCGGAAUUCCUAGUGUAGCGGUGAAAUGCGUAGAUAUUAGGAGGAACACCGGUGGCGAAGGCGGCCUGCUGGACUGUGACUGACGUUGAGGCCCGAAGGCGUGGGGAGCAAACAGGAUUAGAUACCCCUGUA